AUAAAAAUACCCUCAUCGAGGACCACAAGUCCCAUAAUGCACUUCAUUAGAGUCUCUCCGCCGGUACUCUUGGGAGAUGUAGUCCAGAAUAGCGCAAGCUUACAGGUGGCUGAGAAAGUAAGGAGGAUUGUGCUAGAUACUCAAGGAGUGGAUUCAAAGCGCUCUUUUCCGUUUGAACCAGAGCAAAUAUCAAGGGACAAAUAUUACAUGGUUAAAACUUGCAGAGGUUGCUAAGGAUUUCUUUGCAAUUAUUUUGAGAAUUUGAAUUGGACGUGACGUGAGCACUGAAGAGUAUGCAACAGCUACAUUAAAUUUUUAAAUACUUUUCGAAUUUAGUUUUAAAAAACACGUUAAAAAAAAGCUUGGGUAAAGCAAUACCUGUGGUUUACAGAGGCUGUAGUACAAGAAAAUGCUGCUCGUUUUUUUCCUCCAAUAAAACAAAGGAAAGAAAUUGCCCCCAGUGAAGAUUAGUUCAACUCCUGUGUUCAUUAUUGCUUCCAGAUCUCCUAGCCAUCCGAUAUAGAACUCUCAACUGCUUCUCCAGUACCAUGUCUUCUUCCUCUAUGCUGUCAUGCUUCCAGCCAUGGUGACAAUGGACUAAACCUCUGAAUGAAAAGGAACAACAAAGAAAAAGAAAAGAAAAAAUGCAAUUGUCCUAACUUAUUUGGGAAACUCAGGAUCCUAGAGUUCAUUUUGGGACUGCUGCUAUUUUGUUGCAGCUGUUUGCUUCACUCCAUCAGGAGCUAAGUCAAAAUCCACAGCUAGGAGGAAUGUGAGCCAAAACUUCCCAGGUCUGUCUGUGGGUGAGGCUGCUGUUCGGAAGAGCAUUUCAUGGGUUUGAACCCUAAGAAACACUGGCUCCAAUCAACGGUUAUCUAAAAACAUGAGGCUGUCUUUGGCAUUGAGAAUUUUCUGAAGAGUUGGCCGAGCCACUUAGGCCUCUCUGCAGCAAGGUUUAGACAUGGCCAUGUGACAGAGCUGGCUAAUGCAAUGAAUUGGCUGGUGCCUUUUCUUUCUCUACUUCCGUCCUGGAACUCACUUUCUUUCUGGUGAUGUCGCAACCAUUCAUCGAUCAAGAAGCAACCAUCAUGAGGAUGGAGAUGCCUGUUGAUUUUCUAAUGAGAGACAGAAAGGGUGUAGAUCUGGAUGUGAGGAGAGGUGGGAAGUAAUAAUUCAUUUUAGAUUAAGGAAGUGAUUGGUUUCCUUGAGAGGAGUUUGACAUUUUUAACAUGCCCACUGUAACUUGUGGGAAACAGGAAUAUGACCACUUACAAG
rnacentral:lncRNA from 1 species